GCAUUAAUGGGGUAGUGGUAACCUGGGUCGUUGCCAUAAGAUGUAUUCGUUGACUCUGUUGACUCUGUCGACCCGCCGGGGGUUCAAUUCCCUCUUAAUGCA